rnacentral:rRNA from 1 species
AGCGUUGUUCGGAAUUACUGGGCGUAAAGGGUUCGUAGGUGGCCAACUAAGUCAGACGUGAAAUCCCUCAGCUUAACUGGGGAACUGCGUCUGAUACUGGUUGGCUUGAGUGCAGGAGAGGAACGCGGAAUUCCAGGUGUAGCGGUGAAAUGCGUAGAUAUCUGGAGGAACACCGGUGGCGAAGGCGGCGUUCUGGACUGCAACUGACACUGAGGAACGAAAGCCAGGGGAGCAAACGGG